rnacentral:lncRNA from 10 species
UUAACCAAUCCAAUGGUGCUUUUUCCAAUACCACCCAUGGACCAAUCAGCAUGCACUUCCCCAUUCUAAGCCCAUAAAACCCCCAGGACUCAGCCUCACAGAUGGCUAACCGGCUUUCAGGACAAGAACUUGGAACUUGCUGAGCUGGGGAUGGUGGGAGUAAAAGAGUUGUAACCUUCCCUUCUGCUCCCCAAACAAUGUGAGAGAAGAAACCAUUGGACGCCACUCUCUCCUGUUAGCCCAACUGCCAGAGCGAAAAAGUUGUGACGUCACUGGCUUACCCAGCAAGCUAACUGUGGGAGGUGGGAGUAAAAGAGCUGUAACCUUCUCUCCCACUCGAGG